rnacentral:misc_RNA from 1 species
UAUGCUUUCUUCUCUCACAGUCACACCAUUUUUAAUUACCCAGCAGCAACACUUUUUUUUUCUUUUUUUAAUUUGUUGUUUCACUAUUUAUUAUAUGGGCAUUUGAUAUGCAUUUGUUAGAUGGGUAUUGUAAAAUUUGAUAUGCUUUUCAUUAAAUGGGUAUUGUGAUAUAUUAGAUUGAGGUGUGCAUUAGCAAAUGGUUAUUUAAUUUCGAAAUUAGGUCCUAUUAAUUGGAG